rnacentral:rRNA from 1 species
CACGUAGUUGGCCGGCGCUUCUUCUGCAGGUACCGUCACUUGCGCUUCGUCCCUGCUGAAAGAGGUUUACAACCCGAAGGCCGUCAUCCCUCACGCGGCGUCGCUGCAUCAGGCUUCCGCCCAUUGUGCAAUAUUCCCCACUGCUGCCUCCCGUAGGAGUCUGGGCCGUGUCUCAGUCCCAGUGUGGCCGGUCGCCCUCUCAGGCCGGCUACCCGUCGUCGCCUUGGUAGGCCAUUACCCCACCAACAAGCUGAUAGGCCGCGAGCCCAUCCCAAGCCGAAAAACUUUCCACCCACAAACAUGCGCCCGUGAGUGAAUAUUCGGUAUUAGCCCCCGUUUCCGAGGGUUAUCCCAAAGCCUAGGGCAGGUUGCUCACGUGUUACUCACCCGUUCGCCGCUCGAGUACCCCGAAGGGCCUUUCCGCUCGACUUGCAUGUGUUAAGCACGCCGCCAGCGUUCGUCCUGAGCCAGGAUCAAACUCU